GCUCGCUUCGGCAGCACAUACUAAAAUUGGAACGAUACAGACAAGAUUAGCAUGGCCCCUGAGCAAGGAUGACACGCAAAUUCGUGAAGCGUUCCAUAUUUUU
rnacentral:snRNA from 1 species